UACGAAGGGUGCAAACGUUGCUCGGAAUUAUUGGGCGUAAAGCGCACGUAGGCGGCUUGGCAAGUCGGAUGUGAAAUCCCUCGGCUCAACCAAGGAAGUGCAUCCGAAACUGCCGAGCUUGAGUACUUAAGAGGAUCGCGGAAUUCCCGGUGUAGAGGUGAAAUUCGUAGAUAUCGGGAGGAACACCGGUGGCGAAGGCGGCGACCUGGGUAGAUACUGACGCUGAGGCGCGAAAGCGUGGGGAGCAAACAGG
rnacentral:rRNA from 1 species